AACGAGCGCUGGCGGCAGGCUUAACACAUGCAAGUCGAGCGCCCCGCAAGGGGAGCGGCAGACGGGUGAGUAACGCGUGGGAACGUACCUUUUGGUUCGGAACAACUCCGGGAAACUGGAGCUAAUACCGGAUAAGCCCUAACGGGGAAAGAUUUAUCGCCGAAAGAUCGGCCCGCGUCUGAUUAGCUAGUUGGUGAGGUAACGGCUCACCAAGGCGACGAUCAGUAGCUGGUCUGAGAGGAUGAUCAGCCACACUGGGACUGAGACACGGCCCAGACUCCUACGGGAGGCAGCAGUGGGGAAUAUUGGACAAUGGGCGCAAGCCUGAUCCAGCCAUGCCGCGUGAGUGAUGAAGGCCUUAGGGUUGUAAAGCUCUUUUGUCCGGGAAGAUAAUGACUGUACCGGAAGAAUAAGCCCCGGCUAGCUUCGUG
rnacentral:rRNA from 1 species